rnacentral:rRNA from 1 species
AACGAACGCUGGCGGCAUGCCUAACACAUGCAAGUCGAACGGGAUCCUAGCUUGCUAGGUGAGAGUGGCGGACGGGUGAGUAACACGUGGGAAUCUGCCUUUUGGUUCGGGAUAACCGCGGGAAACUGCGGCUAAUACCGAAUGCCCUCGAGAGAGGAAAGAUUUAUCGCCAGAAGAGGAGCCCGCGUCCGAUUAGGUAGUUGGUGGGGUAAAGCCUACCAAGCCGACGAUCGGUAGCUGGUCUGAGAGGAUGAUCAGCCACACUGGGACUGAGAUACGGCCCAGACUCCUACGGGAGGCAGCAGUGGGAAUAUUGGACAAUGGGGGCAACCCUGAUCCAGCAAUGCCGCGUGAGUGAUGAAGGCCUUA